CGCGAGGAUGUUCCUCGAUUCGCGACAUCGAACCCCCCUUUUUGGCGAUUCCAUGACACCAGACUGGACGAUUUUCCGCCGAUCGAAACGGCACCUUCCACCGACACGCUUGAAGUAGCGCGCAGGGCGGACAUGUUGCAUCGGCUGAGCAAUCGCUGGAGCAAAAGUUUUUGCGAAUUAUCUUAGAAACACGGCCUCGGUGCGAUCAAGCAGUCAGUUUGCGUCUCACGACGGACGAGGAAGCAGCCUGUCGUCACGCGGUUCGACUUUCUGUUCUGUUCGAGUCAUUGUCGGCGAGAUCGAUGUCGAAAAAGUUUGAAGAAGAUGUUUGGUCCAGCAGCAACAUUUUUCCCUCUGCUCUUCCACACCACUGGGACAAUGUUACAAGCGUGGAUUGCAACUUAUAAGGAAAGCUCGAAGAAAGUCGAAGGCUUACACGAAGCUUCGCGCGAAAUCAAGAUCUUGGUUUUAAGGUGGGGACACCGAGGUAAUGGCGUGUGCAUUAUUCUGAUAAAUCGCCUCGGCUGGCGUCAAACCUGACUCUGGCCUGACGGCAACCUUGGUCAAUCGUAUCUACUUCUACGCAAGUAGAAUCGAUCCUGUGCAGGAUAUUCCAAAGGAGACUUCUGAGGAAAAAUACCACUACGUACACGUGCUACGAAUUGCAUCAGUUGUAUCAGAACUCUUUCUAUCAGUUUAGGAGAUGCUUUAUAAUUUGUCUUGAAAUUAAAAAAUUAAAGACUGUGAAGGUAAAGAAUUUAUAAAGUAAUUAAUUCUAUAACACAAUUCGAUAAUUUUGGUGGUAAUUUGUAAUGUAUAAUGCGAUAUGUUUUUUAAUAUAGUAUAGCGUGGAACACAAUUUCAAAAUUUAUAAAAUCAAUUACAGUUUGACGCGUUCUCUAAUUGUAUAAUUAAAAAUUGUAUGAUUUUGAAAUUUUCUAUGAAAAUUGUAAUAAAUUGUGUAACAUAAUUUGAUAAUUAUGGUGGUAAUUUGUAAUGUAUAAUGCGAUAUAUUUUUUAAUAUAAUAUAUAAAAUAUAAUGUAUAAAAUCAAUCAUAGUUUGACACGCUCAUAAUUGUAUUAUUUGCAAUAAAUUCUAUAACAUAAUUUGAUAAUUAUGGCGAUAAUUUGUAAUGUAUAAUGCGAUAUAUUUUUUAAUAUAGUAUAUAAAAUAUAAUAUAUAAAAUCAAUUACAAUUUGACACGCUCAUAAUUGUAUGAUUUGUAAUAAAUUCUAUAACAU